rnacentral:rRNA from 1 species
GUGAGGAAUUUUGCGCAAUGGCCGCAAGGCUGACGCAGCAACGCCGCGUGGGUGAUGAAGGCCUUCGGGUCGUAAAGCCCUGUCAGGUGGGAAGAAAGGCCUGGAGAGGAAAGGUUUCAGGUUUGACGGUACCACCAGAGGAAGCACCGGCUAACUCCGUGCCAGCAGCCGCGGUAAUACGGAGGGUGCGAGCGUUAUUCGGAAUUACUGGGCGUAAAGCGCGUGUAGGCGGGGAUGCAAGUCUGAUGUGAAAACCCUGGGCUUAACCUGGGAAGUGCAUUGGAAACUGCAUUUCUUGAGUACUGGAGAGGAAGGGGGAAUUCCCGGUGUAGAGGUGAAAUUCGUAGAGAUCGGGAGGAAUACCAGUGGCGUAGGCGCCCUUCUGGACGGUAACUGACGCUGAGACGCGAAAGCGUGGGGAGCAAACAGGAUUAGAUACCCGAGUAGUCC